CGUUUUGUGGACAUCAAAAUCGAGGGUGACAAAGGAUAGGGAAGAUUAAUUGAUGGAGUGGGUUUCACCAGGAACGAGGGAGGGAAGAGGGAAGAGCAAGUUACACCUAUGAUGAUCCUUUGAUCUUUCUAAAUAUGCUUUUCUUCUCUUCUCACUCUGAGUAUGAUCCAUCCAAUCCAAUCUCAUUGCUUAUCAAUCUCUCUCGCUCUACCUGCAAUACUCCACUCUGUCCCUUUUCUCUCUCUCUCUAGGAUUAAUAUUAAUUAAUCAGACAAUUAAUCACACCCACCUUCACCCUUUUGAUCUCUCUCUUAUUUAUUGUGAAGCUCCGUCACAUCAUAAAUACGCCAGCACAUGCCUCUCCAAAUUCUCAUAAUUCUCUCUUGCUCCCUUCUUCCUCUCUGGGGAUGGUGGCUGAGAGAGUGUUUCUUUAAUAUCAUGGCUAUUUUGAUGAAUGAAGAAGUUGGAUGAUCAUGUGGGUUUAACAAAGGGUUGCUUACAGAGUUUAUUGGCAUUCUGUCCACCUCCAACUUCAUCUGCUUCCUCUCUCACCAAUUAAUAUAUGCGGAGGAGGUGGGCAUAUUGCCAACAGAGCUGUGUUAGCUUCUCUUUGUAAAACCUUCAUGAUGAUUGAUGUGUAUAUACAAAAAUAUAUGUUUCAAUUAGAUUAGAUACAUACACUCUUUUGUGAUCAAACAUUGAGGUAAAAUAAAUAUAGCCACUAUUCUCCUUCCUUUUCCCCCACUUCUUUCUGUGUCUGUGUCUAUUCACGCACUCCAUGUGUUUGAUUUGUAGCUAGAUGCUGCUGUAUGGUGUUUUGCUUUCUACCUAUUUUGAGGAGUUGAACACCGGUCCAUUUUCAUUUUUUUCAUACAUGUUAUUAAUACUAAAAUGAUGCUGUUUGGUUUUUUCUCGUAUUUUUGUGUAGGCGAAGAAAUUGACGGGAUCAGAGAUAAAGGGCCUAAACCUUAAGCCCUUGCAGCCUGAAGCGGAUGUUGGAAAUACAGAUAUACUAAGAUCUAGCUACUUUUAUUUGCAUUCUUGGAAAGUGGAAACCCUAUGAUUCACUUUGCCUUUGGUGGUUUUACUAUUGUUUCUCUUCCUGUGUUUCUUUAAUUAACUAGUCCAUCAGUACUGUAACAGAGAUGAGGGGUGUGUUUUUUCUGUUCAUUUUAUAAUUUUCUUUUAACGUUGUUUAUCAGUCUAGUUCUAAGAUGCGUGGGGUCUAGGGUUUCAACAGGGGAUGGUCUUGUUUACAUAAAUUACAUAUGAAUUAUGAUCGAUCUUUUAUGUUGAGGGGCAGGGGUUAAAAAGUUUCUAUUGACAUUUUGUAACUAAAUCCUCAUUAGUUUGGAGGAACUUCAGGUUUUGAAGAGAUGGUUGCCAUUUUUAGCAAAUGGGUGGAAGGAAAGUUAUUUUUCCUCUUGUUUUUUAAUUAGAAUUUGGUAGGUCUGACUCUAAACAAAAUGUAGUUCAAGAGUUGAAGAUUGUUCAACCGUAUAUAAAUUUAAGGUUAUCUUGAUUGUCUCAUUGGUCAAUGUGAAACUGAAAUUUAGUUUUAUUCUUACCAAUUUCAUGUGUUAUAUAUUCUCAGCCAUGGCCAUAUAUGGUUUUAUGCAUGGCCAUCACUACAAUAUUGCUGUGCUCACUUCAAAUUUGAAACAACAUUCAUACAUUCACAUCCACUUUCAUGCUACUAUUUCUGCACGCUAUUUUCUUUUUUUUUUAAUGUAUCACAUAUUAUAUAUUUUUCAAUCUUUUGAGGGUGUGGAUCCACUUAUUUUUCCAAUUUGAACCAAAAAAAUUGGGCUUUCGGUUUGGGUAAUUUUCACUAUAUCCAGCAGGUAGCAAAGACUAUAUAUGGUUGGUAUGUUUAGCACUUCUGCACUUGUUAGCAUUAACUUAGUUUGGCUGAGCUCCCUAUUGCUGGUUACGUUUCACACGCGAAGUCUUCUGAACUCUGAAGGCAAAGCUAGCAAGGCUCAUGAUUGUGAAGACUGACGACAUUAACGAUUCAAGUAUGCACGCUCUUUCAUGGCGCGUAGGGUAAAAUGACUCAAUGUUCUUGGAAGCAUUGCAGAAAGACUUUCGUGAUCGUGGUUGUUACUGGACAACCUUGUGUUACUGUUAAUGAAUGAGUCGAUGGUCGCCCUCUUGAAAGAGGAGGGGGGAGGGGGGAGGGAAUGUUGUAUUUCAGAUUGCACAGCCUUGGAGGGUGAAACAAAAAGCAUAAGAGGGGAUUGUGGGUGGUAGUGGUUUGGGUGUAUGAAUGGACAACUAUCUCUUUGCUUAGAAAGUUAAACUUGUAAUCUAACUCGUUGUUGUCCUCUCUAAAGUAAAUAUUUGGGUGCCUCUCUUUUUUAUCCGCAAAUAAUUAAUGUAGCACUACCUCGAGUUAAUAAUUAAUCCGCAAAUAAUUAAUGUAGCUACUAUCUCGUUGUAUUGUACACCCACACUUUCUAAAAUAAAUAUUUGAUCUACAUCUCCCAAUACUUUAAAACAAGAGCAUAAGAGGAAAAAAAAUACAAAUAUAAACUUAAAGUGUUUUCACAGGUGCUACUUGAUGUUUUUUGGUGUGUUGAAACAAGGAGCUUGAGAUUCCUAUAUAUAGUCUUGGACUCUCUCACCCAUCACUAAUCUAAGCGAUGUGAGACUUCUUCAAGAUGCAUAACUUGAUAUUUUUUCUCCUUCAUUAGCAAUGUGGGACUUACAUUGCAAUCAACCCCAACAUGUUUUCCGACAAUGACUUGUUGGUGGUCACUCGGGCAUUGAACAAAGAUGCGGGAGGUGAAGAGAACCAGGUUUGCAGGACGGUUCGGUUCGAGGUUUUUAAGAUGGAUUGGAAGGAGUCGAAAUGGGACAAGAUUGAAACUCUUGGCGACAAGGUGUUGUUUGUUGGGGGGAAUAAUUCACAUUCGUUUUCUGCUUCUGAUUUUGGAGGAUGUUUUGAAGCUGAUUGCAUCUAUUUCACUGGUCAUUAUCCUGAGUCUAAUCAUGAUGAUUCAUGUGGGAAACAUGAUUUGGGCAUAUUUAGAUUAAAGGAUAAGAGCAUUGAGCCUUUGCCUUGUUUCCCCCAAAAUUCACCAAUCUGGAUAACACCAAAUCCGUUUUAACUUCAGAAUCUCAUUGUGAUGUGCUGGAGGGGUCUAGAUUGCAAGGCAAGAUCAAUGUGCUGGAUUGGGUUGAAAGAGAGAUUAUGUUCUGAUGUAUUAAUGCAGGAGUUUUUUGAAUGAUUUGGAGAAUGUUUAUAGUUUAUUUAAACAUAUAUUUUAGUAUUUUAGACUUUUAGUAAAGUGAUUUGCGGAAUGAUUAGUUUUGGACAUAUGUUUAGUAUUUUAUACUUUCAAGUCUGAUUAAUAGCAUGUCUUGCGACUUUUCACUAUGAUUUUAGUCUCACCAUGUUGGUGUGCUU